CAUGGAUGUGUUCAGGGCGGGACACUUAUCAGGCACAAAAGGCUCAAGAUGCUUUCCUGCACUAAACACUACCAGCUUCUGGAUCAGGCACAGACCAAGAGGACUACUGAACCUGAAUCUGUGACCAGCUGCCAGAGCAGCCAUCAGUGAGAGCUCUCCAGCCAGCACAGUGGCACACACCACCCUGGCCAGCUGCCGAGCGUUCUCC